rnacentral:rRNA from 1 species
UACAGAGGGUGCAAGCGUUGCUCGGAUUGACUGGGCGUAAAGGGCGCGUAGGCGGUUCGUACAGUCAGACGUGAAAUUCCUGGGCUCAACCUGGGGGCUGCGUUUGAUACGUGCGGACUUGAGUGCGGAAGAGGGUCGUGGAAUUCCCAGUGUAGAGGUGAAAUUCGUAGAUAUUGGGAAGAAUACCGGUGGCGAAGGCGGCGACCUGGUCCGAUACUGACGCUGAGGCGCGAAAGCGUGGGGAGCAAACAGG